rnacentral:rRNA from 1 species
CUACGGGAUGCUGCAGUGGGGAAUAUUGCGCAAUGGGGGAAACCCUGACGCAGCAACGCCGUGUGAGUGAAGAAGGCUUUCGGGUUGUAAAGCUCUGUCAGAAGGGAAGAAACCGAUUCAGACGAAUAAUCUGAGUCCUUGACGGUACCUUCAGAGGAAGCACCGGCUAACUUCGUGCCAGCAGCCGUGGUAAUACGAAGGGUGCAAGCGUGGUUCGGAAUUACUGGGUGUAAAGGGUGUGUAGGCGGUUAAGUAAGUCAAAUGUGAAAGCCCUGGGCUUAACUCAGGAAUUGCAUAUGAUACUGCUUAACUAGAGUGUGAAAGAGGAAAGCGGAAUUCCUAGUGUAGCGGUGAAAUGCGUAGAUAUUAGGAGGAACACCAGUGGCGAAAGCGGCUUUCUGGUUCAACACUGACGCUGAGACACGAAGGCGUGGGUAGCAAACAGGAUUAGAUACCCCCGUAGUC